CCUGGCGGGUUCUAGGGGCCCCGACGAUCCCGAGUGGUUCCGCGAGGGGCGAGCCCCUGCUUUUUAGCGAGCCUCUUGGCCCAGCGGCGCAGGAGGCACUCCGUGUCCGGAACGAAUAACGGAGCUGGAUGAAGAGCUGCGUCUCGGGUUGGCGGCUUUCCGAGCGCCCACGUGGCUGAUGUCUGAGGAGAACCCUCCAGGGCGGGCCCGGCGCGCCCUCUGACCUUGGGGCGGUCAUUUCCGAGUCCAGGUCGCCGGACGCCGGGCAGGGCUCGGCCAGCCUGUCUAGUGGUAUGUUGAGUCCCAAGUGUGCGAAGACAGGCCUGUUUCCUUGUCGCACAGACAGACGCAGAAGGAAAAUGCAAUGAAGAUAUUAGGUACCCUGAGACAGCGAUGAGCGCGCCAGUGAGAGCCAGCCCGGGUCAGCUUUGCCUUGCUGGGGACUCAGCCCUCUCUGGGGUUCAGUGUUGCCAAGGUGGUGGCUGGACCGAAUGGGCUCUACGGCCACUCCAGGCCAGUGUUUCGAUCGUGUUAUAUAACCUCCUCGUAUAGCACAUCUGAAUAUGAGGCAACCUGACUUACGUAUACAUUACUGGUUAAUCUGACCAAAUAAGGAAGCUCUCACUGUGCCAAACUCAAAGAUGAAGAUGAAGAACAUGAUACAGGUCUUUCCAACACUAGAGGCCACCAAGUGCUUUGCAUUAAAGAAUUAUGCACAUUUUAAAACAACCUUAUGGAGAUGAAGUCAACAGGGAAUCUCUGGCUGCUCUCACUGGUUGGGAAACAGAAUUGGAAAUGAAGCACCACCUCCACCCACAUGUGAUCUCUUUUACUCCAGGAAGGACAGCUCAUUCCUCCCCCACCAUGAGCUGAUACAGAUUUCAGUGGUGGUGAGCAACCACUAGCAUCCGGGCAACGCCUCAAGCAUUCCACUCGAAUGUCUAUGCGGCAUCUGGAAGACAAAUUUGGCUACCCAAAAUUCUCCAAGGGAACAGUGGCCACGUGGGGUCACUCACUUGAAAGAUUUCGAAGGCAGGAGCAGCAAGAGAGCAAAGAACUGAGUGAAAGGGAGACUGUGGAUGAAAAGGCCAAUCCAUCUUUUACUCUGGACUCUGAAAAUCCACUUGAUAACCACAGUGAAGAUCUGCUCUCGACUCUGUGCCUGGGGAAAUGAUGGGGCUAAGCUGCAUGUGGGUAGCGCGCCAGAGGUCAAACUAUUGCAGAUAAAUCUAAUAUGGAACCCAGUGUUCUGAGGUGUUUCUUCUGGAGCCUCCUGAGAUCAUAUUCUUACUAUCCAAAUACCCAUUUCAUGCCUCUGGGCUCCCCAUAAGAAUGAAAAUCAAGCAAUUUCUUGACAGCGUCUGCGCCCAAGGAGUAGAACCUUUGAUAUGCAGUCAAUUUGGCUCCUUAUUAUUUCCACAUACUGGAUUGUGAUUACUGUCUCUAUGUAUCCCAAAGGCCCACUGAAUUGCUUCCCCAAACAAAAGAUGAACUCUCUGUGGAGCUAUAAAAUGUAGCUUAUAAAACUGGAAAAUUUUUGCAAUCUGCAAUUGUCACCCAAAAACUAUUUUAAAAUGAUUGAGUUUUUCCUGUUUAUGCGUUCAGAGUUUAUAUGCAAGAUCUUGAUUAUUCACAUUUAUAAUAUUUUCCUUUGAAAUGGGGUACAGCUUUUUUAAAAAAAUUAAAAAUUCCUUAGAUAAGAAAAAUAAUCUUCAUAUAUAAUAAAAUUCCCUGGACUAGAAAGAAAGGGGUUACGUCAUCCUGUAGGCUCAGCCUGGACUUUUAAUCCUGCUGCUAACUCAGUGUGGUCAGGCAAACCUGCCCUGUCCUAUGGAUGGACUAUGAGCAAUUGUUGGGUUGUUCUAACAGAUUACAGGUUAUACUUAACCCUCGAUUGAAAGUUGUAUUUUUCCAUAAAGAGGGAGUUGUUUAAGUUGGUAAAGAACUUGCAGAAGGGUUUCAUAUUCAGUGGUGCAAGAGUGAGGGAGGAACUCUGAACUCAGGCAACAGGAAGAUUGAGAUCUGCCAGAGUCAGACACAAUUCAGACACAAUUCAUAUCCUCUGAGGACAGUCAUUAUUAGCCUCUGUGUGUGUUUUUGUUUUCCCUUGCAACUAUAAAAUUAAUCUUUGAUCAUGUUCCUGGAACUCAAAGAAAUGUCAUGAGCUGAGUCAAGUGGGAAUUGUAUCCAAGAAAUGUCAACCACCUACACAGAAAUAUGUAUGUGGGUCAUGUAUACAAAGUUCUGCAGUCUUGUUGGAACCAACUGUGAAAUGCAUAAUUAAAAAGAGAUUAAAACUUGAAA